rnacentral:rRNA from 1 species
GACGAACGCUGGCGGCGUGCUUAACACAUGCAAGUCGAACGGAAAGGCCCUGCUUGCCGGGUACUCGAGUGGCGAACGGGUGAGUAACACGUGGGUGAUCUGCCCUGCACUUCGGGAUAAGCCUGGGAAACUGGGUCUAAUACCGGAUAGGAGCCAUUUUUAGUGUGAUGGUUGGAAAGUUUUUUCGGUGUAGGGUGAGCUCGCGGCCUAUCAGCUUGUUGGUGGGGUAAUGGCCUACCAAGGCGGCGACGGGUAGCCGGCCUGAGAGGGUGGACGGCCACAGUGGGACUGAGAUACGGCCCAGACUCCUACGGGAGGCAGCAGUGGGGAAUAUUGCACAAUGGGCGCAAGCCUGAUGCAGCGACGCCGCGUGGGGGAGGACGGCCUUCGGGUUGUAAACUCCUUUCGCUAGGGACGAAGCUUUUUGUGACGGUACCUAGAGAAGAAGCACCGGCUAACUACGUG